AAUUCCCAGCUGCUGUCAGUGAGAGAUUUCCUCCCAAAUACAAACUCCAGCUUCAGAAAGAGAUGUCCCUGAAGGCUGCAGCAGGGGAAGAAAAUGGUUAAAUCUACCCUCUAUGCUCAGAACUUGGCUGGGACAAUUACGACGGGAACACAGGCUGCAGAUGUGAUUCUAUCACUUGUUUGCCUAAUUUGGUACACUUAGACUGAGGAGCGUCUCUCCGGAACUCUCCAACAAUCUGGUUCACAGUUGUUAGUGACUCAGCGCCAACCUUUUAAAUGAAGAAAGAGAGAAAUUUUUUUCCUGCACCUAACAUCCAAAGAUGAGCCAGGUGUUGCUGAAACACAGUGUGCCUCAACCUUCCAGCAUAAUGCAGAAAACAGGCAUGCAAGAGUUUGUAAGUGAACAUUGUGUUCUGUCUGCUGGUGUUCCUUGUGAAUGACUCUUAUUUAUUUAUUUUAGAAACCAUUGAUGGAUUUUCCUUCUCUUUCCUCUCCCGCCCACCUCACUGGGACCAAUGAAUAUCAGUGUCCUUUUUUAACAAGAUAACCCCACAAGCAAAUAAGUAAUCUGCAUCUGGGUGCAUAGUGUUUUGUCAUUGGAAGCAGUUUUGCCACAAUCCAUCAAGUCUGACGCACCAUUUAAAGAUCUGUGUCAAAAAUGAAAUUGUGUUUUUCCCCACUCUAAUGCUUUGCUUUAUCCAAAUUUGCAGAAAGUAAACCUAGGUUCUCUUUUAGCUACAGAGCCACCAGCUCAUUCUGAAUAAAAAGCCCAGGUAGAAAUUCCCAACUCCGCCAUCGUAACUCAAUUCACAGUUCAGACCUCCAGUAAUUCUCACGCUGUCUUGAUGAAUGCUUACUUAAGGAGUGAGAACAUACACAGUUCUGUGCUGCUAAGAAGGUAGAAAUUUCAUAUGGUUCCUGAUUGGAGCAAACAGCCUGAUAUUUCUGCACCAGAAAAAGGCCCCUGCCUGUAGAGAAAUGGAUGCUAAUAAAUAAAAGGGUGCAAGCCUUGGGGAUGAAAGAGAGCCAAAACUGUGCUAAUUCAGAGACAACUGAGUAAUGUAAAAGUUUUACAGAUUCUCUCAAGAGCUAACAAAAGCCAAAGUUCUUCCUUCUCCUUACCUGUGAUGAGUACUGCUUUGCGGUCCACAGGGAGCAGGGCUUGAUCAGAUGUAUAAAUGCAGAAGAGGAAGCAGAUCAGCGAGAAGAAACUCAAGCCCAGGUAACUUCUCAGUGUGGCGAAACACAGGACUCCUGAAGCAAGGAGCAAGAGGAGACCCCAGGAAAAGGGUUUUGCCUUCUCCACACAGUUCUUUUUGGCUCGGUAAAGGAUCGUCCCUCCGUACAGCACCACUGCACCCAUGUAGAUCAACAGGGAGCUGUCAGCUUCAGAGUGGUGCAUGGCAGCGGUCACAGGCAGAAGACAGACAGGACUGCAACAUCCAGGCACAGCAGAAUAGGACAAAAAGAAAA